GCGGAUGUGGUGCAUGGUGCACGACUGCUGUCAUUGGUUUGCGGGUCGCACACGGCAUUUGAAGCAGUCAGACGGGGUUCGAUUCCCCGCGCCCGCU